UUACUGCAAGCUCCGCCUCCCGGGUUCACGCCAUUCUGCCGCCUCAGCUUCCCGACUAGCUGGGACUACAGGCGCCCGCCACCACGCCCGGCUAAUUUUUCGUAUUUUUAGUAGAGACGGGGUUUCACCGUGUUAGCCAGGAUGGUCUCGAUCUUUUGACCUCUUGAUCCGCUUGCCUCGGCCUCCCAAAGUGCUGGGAUUACCGGCGUGAGCCGCCGCGCUCGGCCGGCCCCAAAUACUUCUUAUUGGCUAAUCUGGAGCAAACCUACACCAUUGGCUGAAAGCUCCGUCUAUUUGAGGGUGACUGAGAGCGUCCCUUCCUUCUGUGUUGCCUGGAAACGGACUGUCCGCCUAGUAACAUCUGAUCACGUUUCCCAUUGGUCACCGUUUCCGGAAGCUCGGCGCAUGCUGGGUCUGCAGAUGGCGUCUAGGUGCACAGUGGGAAGUGUGAUUCCGUAGUCUUGGGCUGUUCGGCCAAGCGCCCGCCGGACAUGGGACGCCGGAGGGUCAUCAGCGUGGAGUCCUCGCUUUCAGCGUCCGCGGCUGGGAAAUCGGCCAUCGCUACGGCGGGAACUGGGACUCGUGCUGCGUCCCGGCCCUUCCCCAUCAGUCCACCGGACUCGUAGGCGCCCGCAUUGGUGCUGACAUAAUUUCCUGACCUCUGACCCGUAUUGUCUCGCGAUGAAAGGAAUCAGGAGGUUCUUUUGCUGUUCUUCUGUUUUGGAUGCAUUGGAAGAUGUAAUUUGGGCCUACACGUCUCCUCAAAGCCUGAUGCCCGCCUCCCACCUCCACGAAACUCUGGAGCUCAGGAACCACCACCCUCCCUCACCCACUGCAAGCUUGAACAUUUGAUGGUGGAAACCCCGCCCUGAGUUUGUAUUAUGGUCCAGAUUUUGAACAAAUUUCUCUAGAGAUUAAACAGAGCUGCGUCUGGAUCCUGCAGCAGUGAAGAGACCUGAAGACCAGAGGAAACACAGCAAAUGGAGUCUCGCUCUGUUGUCCAGGCUGGAGUGUAGUGUGGUGAUCUCGGCUCACUGCAAGCUCUGCCUCUCGGGUUCACGCCAUUCUCCCACCUCAGCACCUGGAGUAGCUGGGACUACAGGCUCCCACCACCAUGCCCGGCUAAUUUUGUUUUUGUAUUUUUAGUAGAAACAGGGUUUCACCGUGUUAGCCAGGAUGGUCUCGAUCUCCUGACCUUGUGAUCCGCCCGCCUCGGCCUCUCAAAGUGCUGGGAUUACAGGCAUGAGCCACUGCACCCAGCUGUUUUUUCAUUUCUAUUAUGAUUUGUUCUGUGGAGUGUCAGUGGCUUAGCGGUAUGUUUUUUACAUGUUUAUAAAGCUGAAUCGUUCUGUAUGUCAGCUCAGCACCCCUAGUGUCAGCCAUGUUACUCUCCUGCUGUGCAUAGAUGGGGGCCUGUCCAUACCUGAAUCUCCUGGGUUCCCGCUGUCAGCACCUGAAGGUACCCACCAGAUGUGUCUGUGGCUUCCCUCCAUCCACCUCUCUUGUGGUUCUCAUGUUUCUGCCUCCCUAGAGACCAUCUCUUUCGAGAGCAGUGCUUUCCAGUAGAAAUACAAUGCCAGACACAUAAGUCAUUUUAGAUUUUCUAGUAGUCAUUUUAGAAAAGUUAAAAAGAAAGAGGUGAAAUUAAUGUUUUAUUUCACCUAAAAUGUUAGCAUUAUCCAAAAUAUCACUUCAACAUCUUAUCAAAAUAAAAAUUAUUAAUGAGAUACUUUACAGUCUCUUUUCUUUUUUUGAGACAGGGUCUUGCUUUGUUGCCCAGACUGGAAUGCAGUGGCACCAGCAUAGCUCACUGCAGUCUCAGACUCCUGGGCUCAAGAGAUCCUCCUACCUCAGCCUUCCUAGUAGUUCGGACUACAGGCACACACCACCGUGCCAUGCUAAUUUUUUUUUUUUUUUAAAGACAGGGUCUCACUCUGUCAGCCAGGCUGGAGUGCAGUGGCACAAUCUCGGCUCACUGCAGCCUCAACCUCCGGGGCCGGAAUGAUCCUCCCACCUCAGCCUCCCAAGUAGCUGGAGCCACAAAUGUGUGCCACCACGCCUGACUAAUUUCUGUAUUUUUUUGUUAAGACAGGGUUUCGGCAUGUUGUCCGUGCUGGUCUUGAAUCCCAGAGCUCAAGUGAUCCACCCACCUUGGCCUCCCAAAGUGCUGGGAUUAUAGGCGUGAGCCACUGCACUUGGCCUAAUUUUUUUUUUUUCUGAAGAGAUGAGGUCUUGCUAUGUUGCCCAGACUGGUCUCAAACUUCUGGCUCAAGCAGUCCUCCCGCUUUGGCCUUCCAAAGUGCUGGGAUGACAGAUGUGAGUCACCACACUGGCCCAUUCUUUCUUUUAUACUGAGUAUUCAGAAUUUUUUUAAAAUGUGUUUUCCACUUACAGCAUUUCUCAGGUUGGACUAGCCAUCUUUCAAGUGCUCAGCAGCCACAUGUGGCAAGUGACUGCCUUAUUGGACAGCACAGCUCUGGAGGGUGAUUUUAUGUAUAUCCCCACUGCUCUCUCUGCCUCGUUUAUUCCCAUCUACCCCACACCCCUGCAGUCUGUGACUAUCGUGUCCCUCUCUCCUCUCUUCCUGUCUCUUGUGAACCUUUAAUAUGGAGAAUUAUUUCCAAUUCCUUAACAUCCUGCCCUGAAUUUUUUCUGUCUUACAUUCAAGGUCACAGUUUUCCUCUCACCCUCUUUUCAGUCUUUUCCCAUAAGAUGUGAUGUGACCUUUUGUCUUGGUUGGGUAUUUAUUUGCAAUACAAGAAUGAUUGUUUUCUUUGUUACAUUAGUGACUUACAUACUUUUCAUGUUUUUUGAGUACCUCUUUCUUGACAGAAUUUCAAAUUAAUUCUAGAGUUAAACUAGAAAGCCUUUUUUUUUUUUUUUGAGAUGGAGUCUUGCUCUGGCACCCAGACUGGAGUGCAGUGGUGCGAUCUCAGCUCAUUACAACCUCUGCCUUCCAGAUGCAAGUGAUUCUCCUGCCUCAGCCUCCUGAGUAGCCAGGAUUACGGAUGUGCACCACCACGCCUGGCUAAUUUUUGUGUUUUUAGUAGAGACAGAGUUUUGCCAUUUUGGCUAAGCUGGUCUCGAACACCUGACCUCAAGUGAUCUGCCCACCUCAGCUUCCCAAAGUGCUGGGAUUACAGGGGUGAGCCACUGUGCCCAACCUAGAAAGCUUAUUUUAUUAUUAUAAUUAAUUUAAUUUAAUUUUUUUUGAGACGGAGUCUCGCUCUGUUGCCCAGGCUGGAGUGCAGUGGCGCGAUCUCUGCUCACUGCAAGCUCCACGUCCCAGGUUCAUGUCAUUCUCCUCCCUCAGCUUCCUGAGUAGCUGGGACUACAGGCGCCCGCCAUCACGCCUGGCUAGUUUUUUGUAUUUUUCAUAGAGAUGGGGUUUCACCAUGUUAGCCAGGAUGGUCUCGAUUUCCUGAUCUCGUGAUCCACCCGCUGUGGCCUCCCAAAGUGCUGGGAUUGCAGGCGUGAGCCACCGUGCCUGGCCUAUAAUUAAUUUUUUUUGAGAUAGAGUCUCACUCUGUCUCCCAGGCUGGAGUACAAUGGCACGUCUUGGAUCCCUGCAACUUCUGCCUCCCAGGUUCAAGUAGUUCUCCCUGCCUCAGCCUCUCGAGUAGCUGGGAUUACAGGUGCCCACUACCAUGCCCAGCUAAUUUUUAUUAUUUUUAGUAGAGACGGGGUUUCACCAUGUUGGCCAGGCUGGUCUCGAACUCCUGACCUCAGGUGAUCCGCCCGCCUCUGCCUCCCAAAGUGUGAGAUUACAGGCAUCAGCCACCGCGCCUGGCCAGAAAGCUUAUUUUAAAAGGUGUGUAUAGAGCCCCUUAUGUUUCUGCUUGAUUUUUAAAAUAACAUAUUUAGGUCUAUAUAUUUUAGGAUGUAAUAUCUCAUUGUAUGUGUUGCUUUGCAUCACUGAACAUUUUUGGUAAUUAUUUUCUAUAUAUUAUAGAUAUUUCAUUAAACUAAUACAGAAUUUCAUAUUCAGGUCCAGGCAUAGUGGCUCAUGCCUGUAAUCCCAGCACUUUGAGAGGCCAAGGCGGGCAGAUCAUCUGAGGUCAGUGGUUCGAGACCAUCCUGGCCAACACGGGAAAACCCCGUCUCUAUUAAAAAUACAAAAUUAGCCGCUUGUGGUGGUGCACACCUGUAAUCCCAGCUACUUGGGAGGCUGAGGCAGGAGAAUCGCAUGAACCCAGGGGCAGAGGUUGCAGUGAGCUGAGAUCUCGCCACUUCACUCCAGCCUGGGCACAGAGCAAAACUCCUUCUCAAAAAAAAAAAAAAAAAAAAAAAAAUUAAUAUUCGCUCAUAUCAAAAAUGAAAAUUUAUUUUUACGAAUUUCUGUGUGAGUGAUAGAAUUAUUCUAAUGUUGGAGGUUCAUAAGAAAUGGAUGUAGUGAUUGUGUUUUUUCCUAUGCUCGAAUGGAAAAUGAUGAGGGAACACGAUGUUAGAGUUGCAGGGAGAAGGGGUGGAAAAGAGGGAUUCCAGAGUGCCAGGCACACAGAUUUUCUGGAAGGUUUACAUGAGGACUGCUGUGGUUUGAAUAUGUUCCCCGAAGUUCAUGUGUUGGAAACUCAACCCCUAAUGCAACAGUGUUGACCAGUGGAACCUUUAAGAGGUGAUUAGGUCAUGAAGGCUCUGCCUUCAUGAAUGGAUGAAGGUAGAGUGGGUUGGAUAUCUUGGGAGUGGGUUCCUGAUAAAAGGAUGAGGUUGGCUUCCUUCCCUUUCUCUCUUUCCCCCUCCCCCCGUCACAUGUGGUCACUCUCGCCCUUCCACUUCCACCAUAGGACGGCACAGCAAGACCUUCACCAGAUGCAGGCCCCUCACUUUCCCAGUGUCCAAAACCAUAAACCAAGUGAACUCUUGCUUAUAAAUCAUCCAGUCUGUGGCAUUCUGUUAUAGCAACACAAACGGACUAAGACAGGGACACUCAGUGGGCUCUUCUCUCUACUUGAUGGAGCACUCCCUGCGUGGUGCCUUCUAUUUGUAGACAUGAUGCUGUAAAUGCUCUUUCAGUGCCUUGAAGGCUUUUAUGUUUGAGGAGUUUACAGAGAAGCCCCUACAGGCUUCAGGUCCCUUCUUCUGUUGCUUCUUUGCUCUUCAGUACCUCCCCUAACCUGGUGCUAAAUUAGAUCAUAGUGUGGUCCUUGGACCAACAGUAUCAGUAGCACCUGAAAAUCAUGCUGGAAAUACAGAUUCACAGUCUGCUCGCCAGAAUACUGAAGCAGAAACUCUAGGAGUGAGACCCAACAAUCUGUAUUUAACAAGCCCCCCAGGCCCCUGGAUCCUCCUGGAAUCCCCGAUCCCUGUUGCUCCCUUGGGGAGUUUUCUAGUCCCUCUUACUUGAAGCAUGUCUUUCAGAGCCCCGCACCACCCAACUUGAGUAUCUGGGUCGGUGCGGUUUGUGCAAACAUCUCUAUGGGGUGAUGCAUGCAGAUAAAUGUUUAUGUGAACAUAUAAAGUCUGCAUGUGUGGGUGAACACGCCACAUCAUGUCAUUGUCUAUCAUUACAUAUCUAUGGUGUCUUGCUCAUUCCUCUCAUUUUCUGUCAUUUUACCUACUUUUACCUGUAGUACAAUGACUAAUAACUAUUAAA